UACCAGCACCCCGAGUGGUCGGGACGAUUAUUGGGCCUAAAGCAUCCGUAGCCGGUCCUGCAAGUCUUCCGUUAAAUCCAGCUGCUCAACAGAUGGGCUGCGGAGGAUACUACAGGGCUAGGAGGCGGGAGAGGCAAGCGGUACUUUAUGGGUAGGGGUAAAAUCCGUUGAUCCAUAGAAGACCACCAGUGGCGAAGGCGGCUUGCCAGAACGCGCUCGACGGUGAGGGAUGGAAAGCUGGGGGGAGCAAACCGG
rnacentral:rRNA from 1 species